UAGGGAAAGCUAAGGAUGGGAGAGCGUGAAGGACAGUGACUGCAGCAGGGAGAUCAAGGAAGACAAGAUUUAAGAAGGUGCCUUCUGAUUUGUCAGUGGGUCAAGGGUUCUACUAAAAGACCUACAAUGACUGAUGCAUCAUGUGAGAGAAAUACUUGGAAAAUACUGAUAAGGAACAGUAAACAAACUGACAUUUGUAUUUCACCUUCAACUGAAACCAACACUGAGCCACAUGGGCCAGGUCGUGAUGACAGAACACUUCCUCUGUGAAAGGAGUCAAUGGGGAUAUGAUAACUACUUCCUACCUGCUCAGUUUCCUGUUUGUAUCUAUCUGCACGCUCCUCAAUGGAUUUCUUCUCCGACUGAGUUUGUUCCAGGUCUUUCCGGAGCUUGGCAAUUUCUUCCUGCAGACUGAGGACACGUCCAGUAGCAAUCUUAGCCUCCUCCUCACUUAGUUGAAGACGCUCUAAGUCACUUCGUAGUUUCUCAGUCUCAGAGGUGUAUAUUCCUUCUAGAUUGGUCAGUUUUUCCACGAGGCAUUUGUAGUCUUUGUUCUUUUAAACACAUACAUAAGUAACAGUAAGUAAACAUAUACAUCAAAUGUAUAUGUAUAUGUAUCUCAAAUGUAUUUUGAGAUAACCUUAUUUAUUGAUCAUCUUCAUGCUGUAUCACCAUAGCAUUGAUAGAGUAUCUAACCGCAACCCGUACAAGUAAGACCCUCUUAGUGAUACAAUGAGAGAAAAGAAUAGGCAGAGUUAAUUCUGUAACAUGGAGGUCAUUUUCUCAGAGUCACAAGUUAAGUUACCAUAGUAAAUUCUUAAUUUCCUGAUUCUUAAUCCAGAAAUUGAAACAUCUACACUUACUUUUGAAAAUAAAUCAGUAUUCUAUAGAAGCCAUA